UUCUAAUAUCGCUCCACCUUUUGUGUAACUUAUGGAUGGAUUCCUUCUGAUCACCUUGAAGACCUCUUUUCCUGCAGCCUUUGCUUGAUUAAAGGUCUGAAGAUCUGGUGCAGCGUAGGUAAUUGAUCUGCACUCCAUGCGGUGAAAUCAGUCAAGUCUAUUGAUUAUAAUUCAUGGAAAAGGAAAGAAUAUGCAUGCAUACUACCUAUGUACCUUGCAAAAAAUCAUAUUUGAAUGAAAAUUGUUUAGGCGAUUGAAGCAAUCAGAUAGGGUGUAGUUUUAUUACAUUGCGCCAAAGAGGAUGCUCAUGAUGGCAGCUAUCGUGCCACCUCCUGUUGCUGUCCGGUUGCUUACUGCAACUGCCCCAAUCCAAACCAUCAGUGCCCAUGAACAAAAGGUCACUGUUUGGAACAAGCCCAGCCCUAUUCCCUUUAUCAUCGCCUCCUUCUUGCUUAAUUUGUAUUGAUUGUCUGUGCACUGCACAAAGGAUUUCAUGGCCCAGUUCUCUCCGGCAAAGGAGAAGACAGUCUUGAUAUGUGACAAAGUCUGCCCACAAAUGCACACAAGGAUUACAUAGUUAAUUUUUUUUCUAAUAACAUUUUUAUUUUUUAUAUUUCUGUUUAUUCAAAUAACCUAGCUUCAGGUACGGAGCGUUGACUCAUCUACGUGGUUACCUGUUCUACGACAGAUGUUGCUUGUGAGACAAUAGCAUUGCGUGACAAUGAUAUGACAUUCAUCUUUUUUGUGUAUGUGGCUCCAAUAGCGAGGAUCAGAGGAAUGACCAGGAAGGAGAGCAUCGCGACUUCCCAGCAGCUGGCAAAUGCAAUUAUUAUACCAGCAAAGAAAGUGGAGAAGCUUGCGACGAAAUGACCGAGCUGCAGAAAUUGAGCUCAGAUGCAACUUCUCCACAGGACUUUAGAAAUCAUACAGUUAUUGUUCGAUAUGAUUGUGAAAUGCAUUACCUUCUCACCAAUUGCAUCUUGUAUGACAUUCAUGUGGUUGGUUACCCCGGUGAUGAUGUUUGCAGUGGACAAGUCUGUAUCGAAGGCCCCAACCUCUUGAUUAAGGACUGAUCUCAGAUAUUCCAGCCGCAUGCGUGCUAACUGCCUCUCACUCGAGUAUAUCCAGCAGGAGAUCUCUGCAGCCAGUUUAUCAGGGGAAAUGUAAGCAAUGUUUUGCCAGCCAAUAUUGCUACCAUUAGAUCUCCUAUAAUUCUCAUUUUUUUUCGAACAUAACCAAGUACUCCCUCCAUUUCAUAAUAAGUGUUGUGGUUUUAGUUGUUUUAGUUCAAAUUUGAACUAAAACCACGGCACUUAUAUGGAAUGGAGGGAGUAUUAUGUUUCUAAUAUAUCAUUCAUCCUGCACAUUAGUGUACUUCUAUUAGAUUUUAGGAUGUGCUUUUAUGUCCUUAAAAAAAUCAUGGAUUUUGAAGCAAUAGGGGUUGGGCAAACGUGCGAUCAUAAAAAAAGUUCUCUUUUGAGCAAUCAAUGAGCGAAGUGUAUAAAAUCAGACCAUAAAUCAAUGGAAAAUAUUUAAAGAAGUUGUGGAGUCUAUAUUUUCCAUUCUUGUCUCUCCAUAUUAGUUCCUCUUUGAACCACUACAGGAGAAUGCAAAUAGUGUGUGGCUUGUUAUCAUUUCUUUUUACCAAACUUAAUGCAACAUGCAUCAUCGAAGAAACUAAAGGUCCCUUGAGUCUUGACUUACCAACCAUUCCAGCAGGAAAAGUAGCUGCCGCCAUGUACCACACAUACGGAACCACCUUCAAGCAUAAACAAUGGUGUUAAAAGCAAUUGUAGACCAAUACAACCCAAGUUCAGGAGGGUAAUAUGUGCAUGCAUGUUUACCUUGUACAAUGCAUGGACCAUGGCCUCCUGAUUAUUUAUGUUGGUUCCGAAGGCAUCAAGUGCUUUCCCGAGAAGGAGAUAUCCGAUCGGGAAUGCCAUGCCAUGGAUGGCAGACCCGACGGUUCCCAGGGCCAUGAGUAGCCAGUCCACCUUAUCAGCGUAGCAAAGCAGCCCGAAGAACGGGAAUGGCUUCUCAUCAGCACUAGCUGCUGGGAUGGUGCUCCUCCUGUCAUCCGUGUCAUCAUGCUGAGAUGAUGAAAUGGAGUGGUCUUCGUCAUAGGCUGUGGCCAUUGUUUCCGGUGGUCUUGGUUGCGCUUUUACAGCAGGGAACCAUGGAAGAGGAGGUGCGUAGAUGGCAUGGUAUUAUAGGCGUAGGUGUUGCAUACCUAUGUGCAUGUUUACAUGUAGGUGCUGACGAACAUGUUUCCAAAAAUGGUGUGAAACAAUAAACGUAGGUACUCUCAAGGUUGAAAACAAAAUAUGCCGAGGUGGUCAAGGUAUACAUUAGCAUAUUACAUCGAUUUUAUAUAGCAGUGUUUGCUUUAGUUUUGGCAGGGUAAGUGUGCUGCCAAGUUCAUUUUUCAUUGGAGAAUGAACGGCUCGAAAUAAUAUGGCUGUUGGUUCUGUUGGAAUAGAGAAAGCAUGUGAUACAUUAAUGAUGUUUUGCAUAGUUUUCUGUGUGAAACAACUCAAUUUUUUCCUUCACCUUGACUUAGAUGUAUCUGGCAACCAGGUUAAUAAUGUCCAGGAUCUCACUUGAGAGAUCCCCAAGGCUGCCAGUUAACUAAUAUUUCUGGCAUCCUGGAGGUGAUAUGAUUCCUCAAAAUAGUUGAAUAUGUAGUUAAGAUCAAGAAAAUUUUGAUGUGCAUAAUAAUAUGUUAAUGAGUGCUUACAUAACCAAUGUUGGUGUCUUGGAAUAACUGGGGCAUAAUUCGAGCAUAUGCCUUUUCAGACUGCAGAUAAAAACUCGAGGUUGUCGAUGUCUAGACUGUCCGCAACCAGCUCGGGGCGUUUGUUUGCACCUGCACCAGUUUGCUGAUGCACCUGUGUCCAAGAAGGAGCGUCCAAAGAGAUAGAAUGCAAAGCGAGCAUGAAAUUCUAUGUGUUAUCAGAACUCAUGUGCUCAUUUCUCAUCAAAUUUUGGCCGAAGCUAACAUCUGCGCCGUACCGCAUUGUGCGGGCGUUCGGCACGGCAGCUGGGCGGUUUGUUCUCGGAUUUUGGGGGCGAAAGCGCGUAUGUCUUGCAGCUAGCUUUUCGAGAUGCAAUCCAGAAGGCCGACUGGAAGCUACAGAGGAAACAAGUCUUGGGCAAGCAUGUGUUGUUUCGGCAGUUAUUUGUUUCUUUCCCAGGGGAGUGCAGGCGGAUUAGACCUUUCUAAACACGUCAUCGUCCAUGACAUUUUCACUGAUGGGAUAAGCGGAGAAUAUCCGAGUGACGUCCUGAAGACGCCAAGAGUGACCGGUUCAAAUGCCCUGUUAAGAAUUCAGAUUGCCGUCUCAUGCGUCUGUCUGUAUUCCAAGUUCUCGUCUCCGCUCUGCAUGAUUUUGUCUGCAAAUUUACCCGUAGCCACUAUAUGAUGGAGUUAUGUGGGCUUAUGUGUAGAUUCUCUUAUUAUAACCAGAAAGAGAGCGAUGUAACGAUCUGGAAAGAAUUUGUCACCAUAUGAUGGUGUUUAUUAGGAGCGACUGUCUGUUUACAGGCCUGAUAUUUUUUGCCGUUCAAUCAAAUUUGUCGUUGGAUUCAAAUCCAACGGAUGCCAUCCUCCGUGCCACCCCCUGCCUCGCGUCCAGCGAGUUCAUGUCGGGGCUCUCUGCCGCGUCACCGUCUCAUGGCUCCAUCUAAUCCGAGCUUGAAUCAAAUACUAAAAGGCCC
rnacentral:lncRNA from 1 species